AGGGCGAUGUGUGGGUGGGGGGCAGCAGAGAACUCCCCCCACCUCCCGGGCGCGGGACCGACCGGUUGACAGGCGCCGCGUGCAACUCGCGUCCCGCGUCCGCGGUGCAUCCGUGAUGGGUUAUAAAAGAGGAGAAAAGUAUUUCUCCUUGCUCAGCACAUUUGCCCUGCCUGGCUCCUUACUGGUUAGAAGAUAGAACGUGAGCCCAGAUCCGGACGAGCAGUUCACAUUCCAUUACGAAAUUCUACACGGCUUCAGAGCCAGCAGCAGCACACAUUCGGGCCACUUUGGAGUUUUUUCGGCUUCUUCUUUGGGGGUGGUGGUGGUGGAGAGAUGGAAAGGCGAAUUAAAAAAAAAAAAGCACAACUCUGGGGUAUGCUGAAAAACCUGUCUGAGGGUUUUCAGCAGCAGAAACAUUCACCCCACGCUUGUUUUAGAGUUUAGAUUUAAAAGCCCGUGGAAAUGGAGUUUGCCUGUUGGAUAGAGAUGCUGGAAAUAGCGAGGUGUUUCUGUCUUGAAGAAGGGACUGGAGGUGAUUUCUGCGAAGGCUGCCGAGUCGUUAAUGUGCAUCCCAUGUUUCCCGGGUAGUUUUCUUCUAGAUAUGCGAUGGUGUGUGCCUGCGCGCGAGUGUGUUCGAAUUUAAUUGAUGUGGAAAGCAGAGAAAAGGGAACUGCAAAGAAAAGGAUGGUUUUUGUUUUGUUUUUCCCCACGGCCCUUAAAAGCAUCCUCUAGGGUUGGUGCCUUCUGGAGAAGGCAGGUAUGGUUCUAAGUCCUAAUGUAACCCGGAAGUCUUGUUAGAGGCUGAAGCCUUGACUGAAAAAUUUUUUCCCUCUCGCUUUCUUGUUUUAAACGUGUAGUUCUUUUCUUCCUUCGAGAAUCACACAAUCACACAAAUUAUUCUUCAAGUAAUUUAUGCAAAGGUGAGUCACUAAUUUUAGUUAUUUCCCCACCCCCCCCAUCUUUUACCUUUGCCCCUUGGAGGAAACUUCUGGGUAUCCUCUCAUGGAUCUUGCUUUGAUGUGUUUUGGGCUUUGGUUACACUGAUGAAUUAAACAUUUGAAUGGCUUUUAUCAAGUUUUAAAUGUGUGAAAAAACACCUUCCUUCCCACCCCACCCCCCUUUACAAAAGAAAGGGAGAGCCCUUUGAUUUGUUAUUUGUUUACCUUGUGCUUCAUUUUAGGUUGUUAAUGAACUUGCACUGUUUUAUUAUUCUAAAAAAUACUGCCAAACAGGUUGUAUUUUAGGAUGUUUUGUUUUUAAAGAGGAUUUGCUGGUUACGUGAUACUCUUAAGAAAAUGCUGCUGGCCUUUUCUGUUACAUGGCAUAUCAUUCUCUGGGUUCUUCUGAAUAUCACUCUGUUUCUCAUCAGCAGUUCAGAGCCUGGGCCCUUAUGGCAGACAGGCGUUUGUUGUGUGAUGGGAAGAUGAGUCUGACUCAGCUGGCACAGGUGGGGCAUCCAUUCCUGACUGUCUGCAUCAUCUCACAAGUGACCCUUUGAUGGAAGGGUCUUUUAUUUUAGACGUCUUCAGGCAGGCUCCCGAGGUCUCAUUUGUAGGACACAUUCUGUAUCCACCAUAAGGGCAGAAUAUUGAAGGAGGAAAAUAAGGCUCCUGAGCCAGUCUGCAUCGUCCCGUCAGCAGUUGUGGAUGGAUUCCUUGCUGUGUGCAGGGCCCUCUCCAGUUGCCAUUAUGUGGUUUGCAUUUUUACCCAAUUUCGAACUGCUGUGCUAGUCUACUUCCUAAAGUCAGUUUGGAAAUCUUUGCUGGUUGUGUUAUGCUCAGUUCUUACCAUCAUUUAUUACCUUCAGUGAAGGAUAUUUCCUGGUUAAUGAAAGUAAGAAAAAAGUCUACCCUUUGUGGGGUUUUGUAUGGCAUAAUUAAUAUAAACUUAACUCCUGCCGAAAAUUGAUUAAAAGUGCUCACUCGAAGUAGUCAGAAGUGAAUCCUUUUGAUGUUUCUAUUCAUUAUCCUUCUGAAAAGUAGGUGGUGCUUAAAAGGUCAUAGGAUAAGGGUUGCUAAGCAGCUAAACAGAAGGAUGCUAAAAUUAACCGAAGCAUUUUUGAAAGGGAGUCCUCCCCUGUUUUACAUUAUUUAACUAGAUUUAAUUAAUUUCUGAAUCUUUCAUGUCCUUUGGCCUAGGAAAGUAGGAUGUUAAGUUUGUUUUGUUUUGGUAUCAUAUUUAAAUAAUCUCUCUCUUGUAAGUGUCUUUUUAUUGAAGUUCAUGCUCUGACCAGACCUGGUGUCAGAUGGCAGCUUGUCUGGGUGAACGUCUUGCCUGUUAACCUGUGUGUUCAGAUUAAAUCCACGCUUCCCUAGGAAAGGUGUGUGUAAUAUCACCUUAUUUCAUUUAUUAAUAACAGAUGGCUUAGUUUGGAAAACUUGCCUAAUCUGUGAAGUGAUGUCUUAUUGUGCUCUUUACUAAACAGGUUUGUGUUUGGAAGCUCGAAAUGCAGUAGACAAUCAUCAGGGCGCAGGCAGUAGAGCCUCUCCUGACCCAGGACGGUGGUCUUCUUCCCCUUUUCUGCUGUCAGGUUAAGUUUUGAUAGAGCGCCUCCUUUUCAGUCCACCUCCCCAUCUCAGUUCAUUUCAACCCCUUUUUGAAAAUAAUUCCAUUAGAUGUAGAGUAUCUUUGGGACCAAGUGUUCAAAAGCAACACUUGAAGGAUUUUGGAGUUUUUCAGUGAGAAGAAAAAGGGUUGUAGUCUAACCAAAGCCAUGGUUGGUAACCAUCUCUUGGCUGAAAAGCAAGCUUACUGCAGCUCAGAAAUUUCCCUGUCUCAAGGUUACUUGUGUGCAUCUGACCUGCCAAACAGGCAAAGUUGAGUAAUGUUUUUUAUAUCCAAAUACAAUGAAGAAAUUAGAUGGGUUUUCUUGGGAGGGGCAAGGUUAGUGAGUUUUCUUUCUGUCUUUUAGACUUAGAAAGUGGAUUCUGAGUAGAAAUACCCAUGGCUAUCUUCAAAAAGCAAGGGUCAGCCUGUGAUCUCCGCACCCUGGGCUGCCUACCUGUAAACCAGAGGGAAAAGGUGUACCCUCUGAAACAAGACGGAGGCAUACACUGUGCCUUCUGAAAUGCAUCACUUAUUUUUAAUUUCCCCUGCACCCAAGGAAGGCAGAAUACAGAGAGGAAAGCCAUCUGCGGGGUUGUCUUGAUGACCGAAGUGGAAGAGUGAGGAAGAUGGGGCGGGAGGGUGAUGGGCUUUUUCCUUUUCUGUUAGCUGUCCUCUGGGACGGAGUCACCUGCUGUGCUGGUCUCUGUUUCCCUCCUCACCUUCCCUGGGUGUUGUAGGAAGGGCAGCUGAGAGGAGCUGUCCCUUGCAGCAACUGGUGCAUCUUGUUUCGGAUGGUACUCUGGGUACAGGUGAGCCAGUCUGCCCAUCAAUAAAGGUGGCUGCCAGUGAAUAGGUGCUUAGACAAAAGAAGUGGGAGAGGGUGGAGACUGUUUGUUCAGUGUGAUUCAAGCAAGCAGUGCUAAUAGAAUUUGAAAGCCUCUGUGAAGUCCCUGAGUCUGGGUACGGGCGGUCCGGCGGGAUUCACCUGAGGCCUUUCAGACUCGCUGAGGGCGGGUGGUCCUGAUGGGGGUGAGAAAGCCCAGGCAAAAGCCCCACAUUCUUUGUCAGCCGGCCAGACAGGCGGAGAAAAGGUCUCAGUGGGGGUAAUUAGAUAAAGCUUUUAAAUGGCUCUAUUUGUUUUUUCCCCUGGCUGGUUUGAUAUCUCAUCUCUUCUCCCGCCUCUUUCAGAAGCUGCUGGUAAGACGGUCCUAAGAAUGUUGGAGGCUGUUAGUGGUUUCGUUACUUGGGACAUUUCAUUUUUCGUUAGGGCGGACCCUGGACAAAGUGAACUUAACCCUGCUUUUGUGGAGGCCUUGAACAAAGAUUUGAAUUUUAUCCUCAGAGCGGGAGCGGCACAGUGUGAGGGCUGGGUGGGUGUAUUAACCCAUUUUCCAGCUGUGCCAGCCUCCACCCUGUGGCUGGUAAUAAAUCAAGCCCAGGACCCAGAACUCCCAGCUCCAGCCUCACUCCAAACAACACCUGCUUUUUCAAGUCAGCUUGGCCUCAGAAGACAGAGCAUCAAAUAUACAGGGCCUGUUUAUCUGUGUGUGUGUGCUUUUUAAAUGAGACCAGAUCCUUUGACAAUAAUUGAAUGCGAAGAUGUAAGGCAAUUAAAAAAAGAAACUUUUCUAGCCUUUGGCAGCAUUUUUCUUGAUGAACAUGAUUAUAGACAUUUUUUUCCCGUAGGUUUUCUACCUCGUGAGAUCAUUGUAAGGAUAAAAUAAAUGUUUCAGAAAGUCAAAAUCUAUAUAUGGAAGAAAGUAGUGUAUUUUGAGCUCAGGAAGCUUUGUGGGUAUCCACUCUGGAUUUCCUUUCCAGAAUUGUGCACAGCUCCAGUACUCAGGCAGAGUUUAUGUUUGCUUCGAGUGCCCAGAGACAAACAGGCCAGCACAUUAUUCUUCGUGAAGUUUACUUGUGUGCUUAGUUGCUCAGUAGUGUCUGACCUUUGUGACCCCAUGGAUUGUAGCCCGCCAGGUUCCUCUGUCCAUGGGAUCUUCCAGGCAAGAAUACUGGAGUUGGUUGCCUUUUGCUUCUCUCCGGGAUCUUCCUGACCCGGGGAUGGAACCCGUGUCUCCUGCAGUGCAGAUGGAUUCUUUACCUGCUGAGCCAUCACUCAGGGAUGAAUUUUAAGGGACAGGCAGGUGGUAAGCUUUGGGUGCACUCUUUAGAGCAGUGGCUCUCAGCUUGGUGGUUCUCCCCACCGCCCUGGCGCAGGGGGUGCCUGGCAACUGUCUGGAGACCCUGAUUGCCUUGCUAGGGGAGGGGAUGCACCGGCCUUCAGUGGGUCCAGGCCAAGGAUACUGCUGCUCUUCCCACAAUGCACUGGGAAGCCCUGCAACAAAGGCUCAUCCAGCCCCAAAUGUCAGUAGGUGGAGGGUGAGAAAGCCUGCUUUAAAGGUCCAGGCCCGUGUGCCGUGUGCAGGCAGCCUGGUGUUCUCGCUGUGGGGCACGUGGCGUAUUUGGGGAUCUGGAAUUCCAUGGAGCGGGUAAGGUCUCCCUCCAGGACUAUAAGGUGCUGUGUUGGCAAGCCCAGGAUUUCACAGGAGAUUGGGGGUUGGGUAGGACAUUUCAGUGCCGUUCUGUAUAUUAAAAACCCCUUUAGUCAAUAAAAGUUCCAGAACGUUUCUGCUUCUAAAACAAGCCAGAUUCGUAGGUGCUGGGAAGGUGCUCUGAUAGGCGGUGCUUCUUCGCUCGUUUGGGAAACUGACUCGGGUGCUGUCAUCCGCCCCCUCCCUCAUGUUCUCAGUUGUGUGGAGGGUACCACCCCCACCCCCCUGACUGCUUUUCCCUCAGUGUUUGAACAAGCCCCUACUUGCUUGACAGUUCAUGUUUUCACCCUUGUAGUCUUGCUUAUUUAAGUUUUCUUAAGUUUUUGCAAAAUUCUUACAUAACUUUCCACCCUUGUUAAAGUGCAGUGUUGAGGGGGCGGGGCUUCUGUCCACACGUUUCCCUUCGAGCGGGCACCUGGCUGACCCCAGGGAGGGCUGGGGACGGAUCGAGGGGGGCAGAGACGGUAGUGAGUUUUAUGUUUUGGGGGCUUCCGGGCCUCAGAGACCCCAAAAGGAGGUUGGUUUGAAGGAAGAAGAAAUGUGGUAUACAAACACUAAACUGUGUUUUCCCAGACCAGACAUGUCCAAGGAGAGUGGUGGGAGCCAUCUUUAGCCACAGGUGCCACUUGCCUGACCCCUGUCCUGGUCUACCCCACCUCUCAGCUCAGAGGCAGGGGUAGGGGGGAGGUUUUGGAGCAAGAAGAAGGCAGGAAGAGAGGGGGGACGAUUCCCGAAAGGGCGGGGCGGCCUGUGGUGGGAAGUGACAGUUGCCCCCAAAACCAUCUGGGCUGGCACUUACUUAAGAGAAGCGUUGCACAUUCUGCAGGCAGCUUUCUUGACAUCCUCGUCCUGCUGACAGGCUGUCAAGGUCCCUCCUGGGCUAAUGGUGGCAGUGACCUGCCCGGAAGCCACCUUUACCACGCGGCUCCUGGGGUGGUAAGAGCCUUGCGUCUGGUGCCCCGCCGCCCCCUCCCGCACCCUGUAAACCAGCCACUGCCGCUGCCUGUCUCCACUGACAGCUUUUGCCAGGCUGAGGGUCGCCUGCAGGUGCAUCAGAGGGAACUUGCAGAGAGAAGAGUCCCUCCCCCCACUUCUGGAAGGUGAACUGAAACUCACCAUCUGCCCAGCCUUCCAGGCCAGUCCCUGACUCGGGUCUCUCCCACCCCAGCCAGACCCCCCUGGACACCCCUGUGCUGUCCAACUCCAGGGUCAGCUGCCCCGCUGUCCUGACCGAGGCUCUCCUUGGGUCACAGACACCUCCCAAGUCAAUUUCCUGGCACCUUUGUGCACCCUCCGGUUGGUGGACACUAGCCAUGCGUGGGGUUUGCCGGCCGAAAAACAUCUCUUGGCUCCCUGCUGUCUGCAGGAAGAAAUCCAAACUCGUCAACUUGGCACACGAGGGCCUCGUCGGCGGUUCCCAGACGGCCUUCCUAGUUCCAGCCCUUCCCACUCCCACUCCACGCGGCGGCCACAGUGCAGGAGCUUCUGCUUCUUCGUGGAUCACUCACUUGGCUCUGUCCCCACCCCCCCAUCUCCUUGCGAACAUUUCUUCACUCUUCUUUCAAGACCCAUCUUAAAUACCACCUUUUGCAUGGAGAAUCAGGUCCUCCAUCAGAAUAACCCUUACCCCAUCUGGCCGGUGUGUCUGUUGUAAUUUACCUGUUGGCAUGUUCUCCCCAUCUGGAGAAUAGGCAGUGACUUCAAAUCGUAUUUUUCCGUUUUCUGUACCUGGCUCAAGGGUUGCAUUUGUUGCUGUUUGUUAGCCACUCAGUCGUGUCCGACUCUUUUUCGACCCCAUGGACUGUAGCCCGCCAGGGCUCCUUCGUCCCUGGGAUUUCCCAGGCAAGAAGACUGGAGCGGGUUGCCGUUUCCUUUUCCAGGGGAUCUUGCCGACCCAGGGAUUGAACCCGCAUCUCUUGCAUUGGCAGGCAGUUCUUUACCAGUGAGCCAUCUGGGAAGCCUCAGGGGUUGUGUAGUUGAUGCUUAUUCAGUAAUUAUUGUUUAAUCCAUUUUCAAAUACAAAAAAAACAGAGUUUUUCUGAAGAGGUGAAGGUUAUUUUUGGAAAAGAGCACUAUAAUUUGAGAAGCUAAGUCCUAAAUAUCGGUACAGAUUAAGAGAAGGAAACUAAAGUUUUCCAGCAAACCCGUCUCCCAGAAAUUGGGUGCUAAGUGCACACUGGUGGGAAAGUGUUUUGAAUUACAGAAAUUUUAAAAUAAAAGUUUGCUCAGCUUAAUUUACUCAGAAUUAAAGAGAAAGAAAACGUUGUUAAUGCCUGAUUGCUCUAAAAGCUGUCACACUGGGGCCCUUACUAAUUAUAACCACUUUUCAUGGCUCUUGGUUUGAAGUUUAUAUUAAAUAGGAGAGAUGGGCACACAGAUCAAAGACCAGAAUCAUUUCAGAGCUCCAAUGUGUGGGCCCAUUUUCUCUGCUUAGUUAGAUUUUUGUUUCAUUAGUGGUAUGAGUUAAUAGGAGUGUUGGUCUGUAUAUAAUUUAACUUUUCUUUUUUGCCAUUACUGCUUGGAUUUAACACAAAAUGCCAAACCAGAAACCUACAGGGUACAGAUCUUGCUUUAUUUGAGUCUGUGUGCACACAAUAUACAUUCAUACUUACAUGAUAGAAGUUGAUUAUAGAUCAUAUUUAUAGAAAGAAUCAUUUCCACUAUUUUAUGGGAAAUUCCUUUAUGCUGAAACUUUAUUGUUAAAAAAAAAAACACAAAUACUGCGAAUACACAAAAUCAUCUCAAAAUCUUUUCUUAGCUUUUUUCUAAAAGAGGUCUUCAGAAAUAGGGGAAUAUGGAAGACAACGCAAAGAUAGGGUGAGAGAGGCAUUUUAUGGAUCCUUUUAUACCUUUAUAUUUGUAACUAUGUGGAUAGGUUUCCUUUUCAAAUAAGGAAUUAAGUUUUGUUGUUUUUUUUCACAUUAGAAGAUCUUACUAUCCUUUAUACAAGAUAAAAUCCUAGUCAAUUGAAAGUACAUUAUUGCUACCCUUAAAUAUUCCUUAAUGUCCUCACCCGAUAACGAGUUUAGGCUCAGAUCUGGCAGAUACAUUCAAAUAUAUUAGUCCAGCUUCAUCUUAUUUCUAAGGAGACGUGUAUAUUUUCCUCUCGUGUGAAAAAAGGUGUUUGUUUUUUUUUUUUUAAGCCAUUUUCUCUUUGGCUUUAGGGCUUUUGAUUGUUUGCAAGGGUAAUUACGUAAAACUGCCUAGUGAGCAUCUCAAACAGGUUUUCACAACUUAGUCAGUUAAAACUACGUUGGAUCAAACUGUUCCACUUAACAUUUUGAAGCAAGUAUAAUUUAAAGGAGGCUCAGCUCGCACACCUUAGUCUAAGUUACACUUGUUUUUAAAGUCAUGAAAAUAAAGUUUCUGGAAACUGUUUGUUGUUUGAAAGCUUACCUCUGUCCAUGGAAUUCCCCAGGCAAGAAUAUUGGAGUGAGUAGCCAUUCCCUUCUUUAGGGGAUCUUCCCAACCCAGGGUCUCCUGCAUUGCUUAGUGAAAGUCACUCAGUCCAUGGAGUUCUCCAGGUCAGAAUACUGGAGUGGGUAGCCUGUCCCUUCUCCAGCACAUCUUCCCGUCCCAGGAAUUGAACUGGGGUCUCCUGCAUUGCAGGUGGAUUCUUUACCAACCGAGCUAUCAGGCAGGCAAACUCUCACCAUUGGAGCCGCCAGGGAAGCCCCUGGUGAAGCUUUACAAUCCUGUUUUCCUAAAAUACUGCAUUGAGUUGGAUUCAGUAUCCCAUUCAGCCUCCUUUUGGAAAACAGGCACUUCCCACCCCUAAAUUUGCAAACCUCGUAGUGCUUUUUUUGUUUUUUAAACUCAUAGAUCUUUAUUUAUUCAACAAAUUUGAAUUUCAGCAAUGCGACAGCUGUGAUAAGCACCAAGGAUAUUACUAGUGUGAGGAAGAGGCAGUGGCUAGCUUCGCAGAGAUGGAAAGACACUGGACCACUGAGUGGCCUGCGUCCGGGCGGCGUGUUCGGUGCUGCAGGGGCGUGGGAUGUGUUGACGGGAUGAAGGAUGCCGAGAGGAAGGGGCGGAAGGGGCGUGCAGGGGCACGGACGGUGAUGCUGACGCCCUGAGGUUGGUGAGGAGGCCGGAGUGCGGAGAGGAGCCCACCAGGCCUAAGGACCGUGUGUGGUGCGGUGGGCGGGGCCGGAGCCGCGGCGCCUCCCUCGCAGGUAUCUGGAGUUUUCCCUGAAGAACUCUGGGAAUCCUUGCAGGGUGUCAGGCCAAGGACUGGCAUGAUGAGAUUUGCAUUUUUAAAGACCACUCCUGGCCAGAGUGGAAGCAGCAGCUCUUCCGCCUUCUGUUUGCAAGACCCUCGAGGUUAGUGGUUCGCGGCUUUGAGAAGCGGCGGCGGUGCGAACUGGCUGGCAGUAGAGGUGGGAGCCUGGGUGGCUUCGGUGGAGGUGGAGGCCGGAGGAAGGGCCGGAGGCUGGGCGACAUGAUUUUCAGGCCUCUGGCUUCCCUGCCGGCCGGCUGGUGCUGCCCCUCUCCGGGAUCAGGUUGCGGGAUAAAGCCAGGUUUAUGAACCAGGUAUGAACCAGGUAAAGGGCAGGGUUCCCUGCCCUUUAAAGAAGUGAUGUGUUUGAACUUUAUCACCGUUUUCUCUACUUGGACUGUUUUCAUGGGUUAAAACGUUAAUGUACCUGGCGUGGGUGACUCUCAGAAAGGACUUCUAUAAAAAUGAGAGACAGAAGUGAGGCUCUUACCUAUGGCUGCCUCCUCCCCUCCCCUCCCUCCUCUUCUUUCCUUUUUCUCCUUUUUAAUUUCCUGAGGCCAAAAGGAAGUUGGAAGAGUUCUUGCCGGUUCCGAAUGGUUUUCAGAUGAGACAUAGGACUAAAGUCUUGAGCACAUUUAAGUUUCUGUUUGCUUUAGAGAUGCUUUAUCUCUUUGACUUGAGCCUGGGGCUCAGGGGCAGAGGCUGCAGGUAAGAACUGAGGCAGGACUCUCAAACUUACCCCAGUUUUCCCCUGAAGAGGGUCAGAACUCUUCUGCUGACCUGACUGUCCCAACUUUCCUUAGUUUUACAGUCCCCACUGAUGCUCUGAGUGUGUUAGAACGACAUCAGUAUUUUGCUUGACCAGUAAUGUGUGUGGAAACAAAGUCCCUUCAGUGAACCAAACUUGCCGCGUGUCUCCCAAGGGUGCCAAAGGAAGAGAGUCCAUCCUUGCCCAGGGCUGGUCGCCACUGAGCCGCGGUCCAGCCUGUGUCGGACCAUCUCCGGUGAUGGCAGAUUUGCCGUCUGUUCCGAGGCAGUCCAUGGAGUUUUACUGCAUUAGUUACCUUUUUUUUUUUUUUUUUUUAAAUUCUUCUCAAGGCAAACAGAAUCUUUUUGGAAUGGAGCUAGAAAGUGGUGUCUUUUCUGCUGAGUUGGUGAAAGCUAGGAGCUGGAGGACAGGCCGCUGCCUUGUGCAAUCUGACCCCCAGAGAGUCCCUGGGGACUGACUGCCACCCUCCUGACUUCCUCCUGCACUCGGAUUCCUGCUUCGUGGGGGGGUGGGAGGGGGUCCUGCCUCACUUGGCCUGCACGGCCAUCCUCUUGGGUGUGAGCUAGAACUCCUUUCUUCCAUCAGCCCCCAAGAAAGCAUGAACAGUGCUGCUGGAUUUGAGCAAAGCUUCUCUCCGAAGUCAUAGAAAUGACUCAUCCAAACCACCCGUGAGCCCCAGUCUGCCACCCCCCGCUCCCCACUUCUCUUUUCUAUGGGAUCCAUCCUGACCCAGGUCACCCCACCGCUGGUCCCCAGAGAGCGCUGCCCCACUCAGGGAGAGCAUGAUUUUUCAUCCUUUGCUUAAAGAGCACGGAUGUUCCCGCAUCAGCAACCUCACUCUUAUUUGUACGGAUGGCACACUUUAUCCCAGCCGUACAUGUGAUAAGAUGAGCUGAUGAAGGGAAGAGCUCCACAGAGACCUUGCCUCUCCCACUCUUUCCAGCUGAAACACCUUGGUGAGGGUGUGCUGGGAAGGGGACUUGAGAAACGGAGUUUAUGGCAUCUUUUAGAAAAUUUAAAUCUUAAGGUUCAAUUGUACGCAGCUCAGCCCCUCACCUCAUCAUGACCCAAGCGGAAGUGUGGAUUUGGAGAUCUAAUACAUCUGUCACAAAAAUAGCUUACAGGGAUGGCCUUGUAAUGUGUCCAGAAUUGGGGUGGGUGGUACGUGCAGUAGCCAGUUCACGAUGACGAAGGUAUAAGCUCGCUUGCAGAUAACCCGCCCAUAACUGCUGGAUAAUGGUGACAGUUCUUGCUCUCUGUUGGGUGGUUUCUUUCUUUACAUGACUGUGUGUUUAAUCCCUGGUGUUGGUUCUUGAAGGGCUUGGGUGGUCAGAUUAUUGCACUUAGAGAUCAUAACCAAAAUGGCUUGGCGGGCUUUGCUGCCUUUACAGCGGAUGGAAUCUGGGGAGGUUCCUUUGGCUGGCUGGGAAGUCUAGUGUUGGCUCCUGCUGUGUCCUGUAUCUACAGACAGCAGAGGACAGAGAAAUCCAGUAGAAACUGUGACCUGGUUAUUCAUAUGAUAAACAAAUCACCGAGAGUGCAUUUAAAUACAGUCAGCAGUCCGCCCUUGGUGAAAAGCUUCAGUAGUCAAAGCCCACCUGUAUUUGCUUUAAGUCAGAUAAACCAGAUGUUGUAUUUUAGGCCGUCUCCUGCCCGCGCUAGACUUAAUCCAUAUAUGACUCCAAUCUUAAGUAAAAAAUCUCAGGUUCCCGCACUUUUUCACCAUUCUGUGGUGGUUAGGUUUUUCAUCUGGAAAAACACUCGCGUGCUGGGGGAAGCAGUCCUGUGAACUAAGGUUUCAGGCACACACCAGUUAUGUCGUUGUCCUGAACUCUUGACGUGGGUCAUCCCAUUCCGUCUUCACACCCCCUCGUGGCCCCCAGGAUGUAGGUAGGAUCAUUAUUCUCUUUAUUUAGAGGAGGAAACAGACCCAGUGAGACAGCCAGCUCAUCGUCGUCGAACAGCCUGAGCCCAGAGCCCAUGCUGGCGGCCAGUGCUCCGCUUCUCCCACGAUGCCUUGACAUUGUCCCCAAGUGAAUAUGCCCCGAAAGCCUGUUGUGUAGAGCCGUGCGGUACACGGCAAGAGGAGAGUCAGGGACAUGCAUGGGACAAAGCUGCUGGCUCUUGGAAAUAGCAGAUUAAAACCCAACCUGUGAAACGAGUCUAUGUGGUUUUUAGACCAUCACUUCUGUGGAAGAUCAAUGGGGAGGGGAGGGUUGCUAGAGAGAGAGGCCUACAAAGGUGCUUCAUUGUUGAAUUGCUAAGUCCAGCUCUUUUGUGACCCAUGGAUUGUGGCCCACCAGGCUCCUCUGUCCACGGAAUUCUCUAGGCAAGAACCCUGGAGUGGGUUGCCAUUUCCUUCUCCAGGGGAUCUUCCCAGUCCAGGGAUCGAACCUGGAUCUUCCUGCAUUCCAAUAGGUGGUUUCUUUGCCGCUGAGCACCAGGGCAUGGGUUGCAGAGAUGCUGCUGGUUGACAAAUCAGCCGGCAGGGAGUGGCUAUCCCAGACAGAGCACCUGGGGCCCAGGAGACCCUGCUGAGAAUGGGGAGAGGCCUUGAUUACCCUGCUGGGGGCCUCGCUGUCCCCAGGUUCCCAUCAGAUGCC
ensembl:lncRNA